GGUCACUUAAAUAAUGGAAGCAUCGUGUUGCAAAUUGGAGGUACCAAAGUGGAGGAUGCUGCCUGGCUUCAAAAAGCAGAUGACUACAACCACAUCAAUGUUGCUGAGUUGGACGUAGUACUGAAGGGUGUGAAUUUCGCCCUGAAAUGGGAGCUGCACUCCAUCAAAAUCAGGAUGGAUUUGGCUACCGUGCUUGGCUGGGUAAGAUCAGUGAUCACUGACAAGAAG